rnacentral:rRNA from 1 species
CAGGCCUAACACAUGCAAGUCGAACGGACAGACAGAGAGCUUGCUCUCUUGAAGUUAGUGGCGAACGGGUGAGUAACGCGUAAUCAACCUGCCCUUCAGAGGGGGAUAACAACGGGAAACCGUUGCUAAUACCGCGUACGAUUCAUGAACGGCAUCGUUUAUGAAUGAAAGGUGGCCUCUAUGUAUAAGCUAUCGCUGAAGGAGGGGGUUGCGUCUGAUUAGCUAGUUGGAGGGGUAACGGCCCACCAAGGCAAUGAUCAGUAGCCGGUCUGAGAGGAUGAACGGCCACAUUGGGACUGAGACACGGCCCAAACUCCUACGGGAGGCAGCAGUGGGGAAUCUUCCGCAAUGGACGAAAGUCUGACGGAGCAACGCCGCGUGAGUGAUGAAGGUCUUCGGAUUGUAAAGCUCUGUUAAUCGGGACGAAAGAGUUCUGCGUGAAUAAUGCAGAAAAGUGACGGUACCGGAAUAGAAAGCCACGGCUAACUACGUGCCAGCAGCCGCGGUAAUACGUAGGUGGCAAGCGUUGUCCGGAAUUAUUGGGCGUAAAGCGCGCGCAGGCGGCCUAUCCAGUCUGUCUUAAAAGUUCGGGGCUCAACCCCGUGAUGGGAUGGAAACUAGUAGGCUAGAGUAUCGGAGAGGAAAGCGGAAUUCCUAGUGUAGCGGUGAAAUGCGUAGAUAUUAGGAAGAACACCAGUGGCGAAGGCGGCUUUCUGGACGAAAACUGACGCUGAGGCGCGAAAGCCAGGG